rnacentral:rRNA from 1 species
GACGAACCGAGCGAACGUUAUUCGGAAUCACUGGGCUUAAAGGGCGCGUAGGCGGGUCAGCAAGUCAGGGGUGAAAUCCCACGGCUCAACCGUGGAAGUGCCUUUGAUACUGUUGAUCUCGAGGGAGGUAGGGGCGUGCGGAACUUCCGGUGGAGCGGUGAAAUGCGUAGAUAUCGGAAGGAACACCGGUGGCGAAAGCGGCGCGCUGGACCGACAGUGACGCUGAACGGCGAAAGCUAGGGGAGCAAACGGG